CUCGACAGCUCGCCAUCCACGAGCGGAAACCUCUCUCGGCCCUGGGAAGCCCAGCGCUCCUCACCUUCCUGGAGGCGCAGCGGCUACAACUACAGCUGAGGCCAAGCGCGUCCCCCCCCCAAAGCCCGGGGCCGGGGGCAACUGCCCCGCUUCCCGGUGCCUUAGGGCGGCUCUGCUUUUUUGCACAAGUUAGGGGGGAAAGAAAAAAAAGCACCAUUUGUAGCAGGCUUGCAGAAUGAGAGCCAGCAGGAAAUGACAUAACAAAGGGAGGAAAAGGGAGCUCCCCUCCUUUGGCUCCCGGGCCCCCUUUUUGACCCCGGACCCAGCUGCCCAAAUGAUCCCUGUGUACCUCUUUCCAUUGAUGGCCACAUGCUGAAGGCGCUUCUGAAAUUCAGCAAACCAGUUCAGAUCCCUACACUGUACAUGCAGGGGAUUAUCUCACAGACUGGUAUUGCAGCACAUGCAUUGUGAGCUAAACAACAACAAACUAAUGCAGAGUUCUUGCACAAGACUUCUCUUGGAAUUAUAAUAGUAAUGGAUGUUGUACACACACCCCCUCAAAAGAAAGCACAAGCCUCCAUUUUGCUGACCGCUUUUUGACCCAAAGGCCUCUACAGUAGUGAACAGCGUCAUGGUGCACUGAUCUCCCCACAUAAAACAAAUUCACGCACAGGCGUCUUCCAUAACAAAAGUCCCAUGGCGAUUGGCAAAUGGCGACAGGGGCAGGACUGUGAAAUCCAGAAGCCCCUAGUCAUGGUCUGGUACAUCGGCGGUGGAUACAGAUUCAGACGGAUCCAUUGUUAAAGACUAUAUUUUGGAAGACAAUCUUACUCGGUCACGACUCACGAGUGAUCACCAAGAAUGCAAAAUAAAUAUUAUACAAUAAAAGUACAAUAAAUACAAUGAAUCAAUCAAAACAAUAUAAAACAGAAAAAUCACAAAAUACACUGGAUGUGUUUGUGAGCUGCAUUCAUGCUCUCAUCACAGCAGCAGCUCCCCAGCAUUCCAUCUCUCACUUGGAAGCUGGGUAGCCUCACCUCUCCCUCUAUUCUUCACUUAGAAGCAAGCCCAUCCACAAUCAAUCACCCAUAGGGGAGGGCCCUUGCCCUUGGCACACAACAAAGGAGUGAUCCAAAGGAGUAACUCACCCUUUGGGGUGGCCCCACUGGGGUUGACCCACCAAUGGCAACCUGCCACAAACAGUGUCCUCCAGAUAAACACACUUGCCUCCUGAAAACCAGCUAUAGCUGUGGUAUGUUCUUUCUCUUCAUGGGUGGGAUUAGCUGAUUAGAGACUGAGGGGAAGGACCAGAAAACACAGCAGGGAAACAUUUCAUCAACCCCCCUCCCAGCUGGACUGGAAUCAGCAGAACGCCUAUGAAAUGUGUAGCCGCUCUCAUGUCAAUUGCACACACAGAAAAACCACAUCUGAAUGACCCGUUUGUGGUAUUCAUCACCCAUCUGGAAGGGCCCCGGGUCCACCAAAGAAGCAUAACUCACCUGUAUCACUCUCUACCCAUCCUUGCAAUUUCUCUGGCACAAAAAUGACAGUCAAACCAACAUACACUUGUAGAAGAGAAAGGUCCAAGGAAACCAUUCAGUUCCUGGGUAAGAAGAAUGUGAGGCAUCACCCUCAGCUCUCCCCAUCCUGUUCAACAGCAUCUCUCUCCAUCUCUGGCACUGCCUUUAGACAACAGAAACUGAGCCAGGGAUGGUCUGCAUGGCAUAACGUAGAAAGCCUUGCUGAUUACAGUUCUGUGUGUCGUCUUCCUAUUCAAAAUAAAGAAGCAAGGCCACUGAAAAAGAGGUAGUAGUGGAAUGGCAGCCCACGGAAUCAGCCCUCAACCUGCCCUAGGAGCACACGAAGCGGCCUUAUACUGAAGGCAGAAACACACUUGCGCUUAAAAGGUUUGCCGUGCAUUUCUAUGCAUCUCCAACUCUGUAUUUUGAAAACGGGAGCACACAAUGUUCGUCAACCAUGCCCAUGUGUAACCGGCAAUCUGUGAUUUUGGAUGCGUAUUUUCGUGAACUCUGCUUCAAAACGAUUGCAAAACUGUUUGGUGGAUUAAUCCAUAGCAUUCUGUUGUGUGUUUAGUGCAAACGCAUUGCUCUGGGUGGUCCACAAUGGUCUGACAUCAGCAGUUGGGCAGUGUGGACCACAUCAUGCGACCUGCAGCAACCUUCUACCUGUUUACCUGCUUCAUUUCACUUCCGGUCUUCUAGCUGCUUCUCCCGGGUUUUUUAUAUUCUCUCUCUCCACCUUUACCAUCUUCCUUGGCCCAAUGGAUGCAGCGAAGAAAAUAAAGUGUUCAGCCUUGCCGGUGCUGACGGUGUUUUCAAUUUUUUGAUGUGGUUUUUUUUUUUGCAUGUGUAUUGCAUAAUAUUCUGCUUUUGA